rnacentral:rRNA from 1 species
GCCGGGACGGCAGCUAUAAUGCAAGUCGAGGGGCAGCAUGAACUAGCAAUAGUUUGAUGGCGACCGGCAAACGGGUGCGGAACACGUACACAACCUUCCUUUAAGUGGGGAAUAGCCCAGAGAAAUUUGGAUUAAUACCCCGUAACACAACGAAGUGGCAUCACUUUGUUGUUAUAGUUUCGGCGCUUAAUGAUGGGUGUGCGUAUGAUUAGAUAGUUGGCGAGGUAACGGCUCACCAAGUCUACGAUCAUUAGCUGAUGUGAGAGCAUGAUCAGCCACACGGGCACUGAGACACGGGCCCGACUCCUACGGGAGGCAGCAGUAAGGAAUAUUGGUCAAUGGACGCAAGUCUGAACCAGCCAUGCCGCGUGAAGGAUUAAGGUCCUCUGGAUUGUAAACUUCUUUUAUAUGGGACGAAAAAAGGUCUUUCUAGACCCCUUGACGGUACCAUAUGAAUAAGCACCGGCUAACUCCGUGCCAGCAGCCGCGGUAAUACGGAGGGUGCAAGCGUUAUCCGGAUUCACUGGGUUUAAAGGGUGCGUAGGCGGGCAGGUAAGUCAGUGGUGAAAGCCUGGAGCUCAACUCCAGAACUGCCAUUGAUACUAUCUGUCUUGAAUAUUGUGGAGGUAAGCGGAAUAUGUCAUGUAGCGGUGAAAUGCUUAGAUAUGACAUAGAACACCCAUUGCGAAGGCAGCUUACUACGCAUAUAUUGACGCUGAGGCACGAAAGCGUGGGGAUCAAACAGGAUUAGAUACCCUGGUAGUCCACGCCCUAAACGAUGGAUACUCGACAUACGCGAUACACUGUGUGUGUCUGAGCGAAAGCAUUAAGUAUCCCACCUGGGAAGUACGUUCGCAAGAAUGAAACUCAAAGGAAUUGACGG